rnacentral:rRNA from 1 species
UUAAGCGACUAAGCGUACACGGUGGAUGCCCUGGCAGUCAGAGGCGAUGAAGGACGUGCUAAUCUGCGAUAAGCGUCGGUAAGGUGAUAUGAACCGUUAUAACCGGCGAUUUCCGAAUGGGGAAACCCAGUGUGAUUCGUCACACUAUCAUUAACUGAAUCCAUAGGUUAAUGAGGCGAACCGGGGGAACUGAAACAUCUAAGUACCCCGAGGAAAAGAAAUCAACCGAGAUUCCCCCAGUAGCGGCGAGCGAACGGGGAGCAGCCCAGAGCCUGAAUCAGUGUGUGUGUUAGUGGAAGCGUCUGGAAAGGCGCGCGAUACAGGGUGACAGCCCCGUACACAAAAAUGCACAUAUUGUGAGCUCGAUGAGUAGGGCGGGACACGUGGUAUCCUGUCUGAAUAUGGGGGGCCCAUCCUCCAAGGCUAAAUACUCCUGACUGACCGAUAGUGAACCAGUACCGUGAGGGAAAGGCGAAAAGAACCCCGGCGAGGGGAGUGAAAAAGAACCUGAAACCGUGUACGUACAAGCAGUGGGAGCACGCUUAGGCGUGUGACUGCGUACCUUUUGUAUAAUGGGUCAGCGACUUAUAUUCUGUAGCAAGGUUAACCGAAUAGGGGAGCCGAAGGGAAACCGAGUCUUAACUGGGCGUUAAGUUGCAGGGUAUAGACCCGAAACCCGGUGAUCUAGCCAUGGGCAGGUUGAAGGUUGGGUAACACUAACUGGAGGACCGAACCGACUAAUGUUGAAAAAUUAGCGGAUGACUUGUGGCUGGGGGUGAAAGGCCAAUCAAACCGGGAGAUAGCUGGUUCUCCCCGAAAGCUAUUUAGGUAGCGCCUCGUGAAUUCAUCUCCGGGGGUAGAGCACUGUUUCGGCAAGGGGGUCAUCCCGACUUACCAACCCGAUGCAAACUGCGAAUACCGGAGAAUGUUAUCACGGGAGACACACGGCGGGUGCUAACGUCCGUCGUGAAGAGGGAAACAACCCAGACCGCCAGCUAAGGUCCCAAAGUCAUGGUUAAGUGGGAAACGAUGUGGGAAGGCCCAGACAGCCAGGAUGUUGGCUUAGAAGCAGCCAUCAUUUAAAGAAAGCGUAAUAGCUCACUGGUCGAGUCGGCCUGCGCGGAAGAUGUAACGGGGCUAAACCAUGCACCGAAGCUGCGGCAGCGACGCUUAUGCGUUGUUGGGUAGGGGAGCGUUCUGUAAGCCUGCGAAGGUGUGCUGUGAGGCAUGCUGGAGGUAUCAGAAGUGCGAAUGCUGACAUAAGUAACGAUAAAGCGGGUGAAAAGCCCGCUCGCCGGAAGACCAAGGGUUCCUGUCCAACGUUAAUCGGGGCAGGGUGAGUCGACCCCUAAGGCGAGGCCGAAAGGCGUAGUCGAUGGGAAACAGGUUAAUAUUCCUGUACUUGGUGUUACUGUGAAGGGGGACGGAGAAGGCUAUGUUGGCCGGGCGACGGUUGUCCCGGUUUAAGCGUGUAGGCUGGUUUUCCAGGCAAAUCCGGAAAAUCAAGGCUGAGGCGUGAUGACGAGGCACUACGGUGCUGAAGCAACAAAUGCCCUGCUUCCAGGAAAAGCCUCUAAGCAUCAGGUAACAUCAAAUCGUACCCCAAACCGACACAGGUGGUCAGGUAGAGAAUACCAAGGCGCUUGAGAGAACUCGGGUGAAGGAACUAGGCAAAAUGGUGCCGUAACUUCGGGAGAAGGCACGCUGAUAUGUAGGUGAAGUCCCUUGCGGAUGGAGCUGAAAUCAGUCGAAGAUACCAGCUGGCUGCAACUGUUUAUUAAAAACACAGCACUGUGCAAACACGAAAGUGGACGUAUACGGUGUGACGCCUGCCCGGUGCCGGAAGGUUAAUUGAUGGGGUCAGCGCAAGCGAAGCUCUUGAUCGAAGCCCCGGUAAACGGCGGCCGUAACUAUAACGGUCCUAAGGUAGCGAAAUUCCUUGUCGGGUAAGUUCCGACCUGCACGAAUGGCGUAAUGAUGGCCAGGCUGUCUCCACCCGAGACUCAGUGAAAUUGAACUCGCUGUGAAGAUGCAGUGUACCCGCGGCAAGACGGAAAGACCCCGUGAACCUUUACUAUAGCUUGACACUGAACAUUGAGCCUUGAUGUGUAGGAUAGGUGGGAGGCUUUGAAGUGUGGACGCCAGUCUGCAUGGAGCCGGCCUUGAAAUACCACCCUUUAAUGUUUGAUGUUCUAACGUGGACCCGUGAUCCGGGUUGCGGACAGUGUCUGGUGGGUAGUUUGACUGGGGCGGUCUCCUCCUAAAGAGUAACGGAGGAGCACGAAGGUUGGCUAAUCCUGGUCGGACAUCAGGAGGUUAGUGCAAUGGCAUAAGCCAGCUUGACUGCGAGCGUGACGGCGCGAGCAGGUGCGAAAGCAGGUCAUAGUGAUCCGGUGGUUCUGAAUGGAAGGGCCAUCGCUCAACGGAUAAAAGGUACUCCGGGGAUAACAGGCUGAUACCGCCCAAGAGUUCAUAUCGACGGCGGUGUUUGGCACCUCGAUGUCGGCUCAUCACAUCCUGGGGCUGAAGUAGGUCCCAAGGGUAUGGCUGUUCGCCAUUUAAAGUGGUACGCGAGCUGGGUUUAGAACGUCGUGAGACAGUUCGGUCCCUAUCUGCCGUGGGCGCUGGAGAACUGAGGGGGGCUGCUCCUAGUACGAGAGGACCGGAGUGGACGCAUCACUGGUGUUCGGGUUGUCAUGCCAAUGGCACUGCCCGGUAGCUAAAUGCGGAAGAGAUAAGUGCUGAAAGCAUCUAAGCACGAAACUUGCCCCGAGAUGAGUUCUCCCUGACCCUUUAAGGGUCCUGAAGGAACGUUGAAGACGACGACGUUGAUAGGCCGGGUGUGUAAGCGCAGCGAUGCGUUGAGCUAACCGGUACUAAUGAACCGUGAGGCUUAACCUU